UGAGCUCAACGAGAACAGAAAUC
rnacentral:snRNA from 1 species